GAUGAACGCUGGCGGCGUGCCUAAUACAUGCAAGUCGAGCGAACAGACGAGGAUCUUGCUCCGCUGACGUUAGCGGCGGACGGGUGAGUAACACGUGUAUAACCUACCUAUAAGACUGGGAUAACUUCGGGAAACCGGAGCUAAUACCGGAGAAUAUAUUGAACCGCGGUGUUCAUUGGUGAAAUACGGUUUUGCUGGCACUUAUAGAUGGUUCCGGGCCGCAUUAGCUAGUUGGUACGGUAACGGCUUACCAAGGCUACGAUGCGUAGCCGAACUGAGAGGGUGAUCGGCCACACUGGAACUGAGACACGGUCCAGACGACUACGGGACGCAGCAGUAGGGAAUCUUACGCAAUGGGCGAAAGCCUGACGGAGCAACGCCGAGUGUGUGAUGAAGGUCUUCGGAUCGUAAAGCCCUGUUACUAGGGAAGAACAACUGUGUAAGUAAAUAUGGACGUAUUGACGGUACCUAAUAAGAAAGCAACGGCUAACUACGUG
rnacentral:rRNA from 1 species